GGAAGCUUAGCUCAGCUGGGAGAGCAUCUGCCUUACAAGCAGAGGGUCAUAGGUUCGAGUCCUAUAGUUUCCACCA
rnacentral:tRNA from 1 species